GUUUUGGUCUUUAGUGGGAUUGUGUCAUUCAAAAGAAUUUCAGACCACACAAAUCUUUCAUUCUCGUCUUCGUAUUCCUCCCAAGUUCUCUCUCUAAACUCAGACCCAUCCUCUAUUCUCUCUCUCUCCGUUUUUGAAUUUAUUUAUUAUUUUGUUUAUGAAUUUGAUGAUCUGUGAUUUUUGUUUGCAGAAGAAGGAAAAUAUCACUUCGAUUGGCUUGAAGAUCGUGCUCACGAACCCAGCUCUUUGCCAAAGCCUCAAGAUCCACUCCCUCUGCAAACAACAAGCAAUGAAGUGCUGAAAUCGAUGGUUUCUAACGAGAGAACUGAGAAGCAGCUCCACCAAAAUCGAUUCCUCCACUCUCUGUGAUUUUAAUUUCUUUAUUAUCUCCUAAAUUUCCUGCAUAAUCUUUUCUGAUGCUUGGUAGGGACUCGACGAACUGGAGGAAACCGAUUUCAAUAAUCAAAGGGUGGUUCUCGCCCUCUAUGAGACCAUGGACUCGACGAACUGGAGGAAACCGAUUUCAGUAAUCAAAGGGUGGUUCUCGCCCUCUAUGAGACCAUGUACUCGCACGACGUAACCACGAUGCACCAGAUCGUCGCCGACUGGAAGGGAAUCUCCGUUUCUGUCUUCUGAGCCCAGGCAAAGCAUCCCCUCUCUACGUAUCGUACGAGUGGGUCACGACGGCUCGCUGAUACCCUCCAUCUCAUGCUGUUUCCAGCGUGAAAGACCAGCAAAUCCAGCGGCUUCGUGAAGACAACUGGGAACUAAAGAAAAAAAAACAUAAAAUAAAAUAAAAGUGAGGAAAGUCAUGGAGAUGACCCCACUCUUCACUAACUAUUUUGUCCUUGUCCACGGAGGUGGCUUUGGUGCUUGGUGCUAUAACACAUCCUGUCCGAUGAGAUAAGCACAAGCACACGUUUUGUGAUAAGAAUUUAUUUCAAUUACGUCACUAUCAUAUUUUUUUAUUUUAUUUUGUAGGCCCACGCAUGCAAGUUGACAUUGUGGUUGAGAGAGUGGAUGGGUGUUGCUGUAAAGGUAUUUUGGAGGAGAAUUUCCCGUGAAUUGGUAGUCGAGCAUGUGAACCAACAUCUCUGUCCUUUUUGGUUGUUGAGCACGUGACAGAAGUAGAGCUGUGAUCAGAAUGAAAGCAUGGAGCAUUCUCUACCCUGAUGAAACUUUCAUAACCUUGGACCAGUGCUUCAAUGAUUUUCUUGUCAAAGUGGACAGAAAGUCUAUCAGUACCGAUGAAAUUACUACCACAAGUCCCAUGGCUGAAUCUAUGGCAAUCACUGCAACAUGUGCUUGAUCAUUUCAUAACUAGACCACGAGGGCAAAGUGUUACUCUUCCAAGAUUAAUUUUUUAUUUUUUGUGGAAAAUAAUAGUACAUAAAUAUGGAAUUCAAUUUGCUUACGAUGAUUUAACAUGAAUUCCGAGUGAUUAUUGGAAUUGCACUUGUUUUGGUUGAAAAAACUGCUACUGAUGUGAAUGGGGCAGGGCAGUGGAUUAAAUUUAGAGGCAUGGGGUCUCAACCAUAAGAUGUACUCAUUAGUCUUCAACAUGUGCAAUGCACAGGAAAGACUGAUUUUAUUAAAUAAAGAAUACUUUAUGUUACUAAAGUCAGCAUAUGUUGAGAGAUCAUAUAAUAAAAUAAAGAAUAUGAAUAUUGAUCUUAA